rnacentral:rRNA from 1 species
UACGUAGGGUGCGAGCGUUAAUCGGAAUUACUGGGCGUAAAGCGUGCGCAGGCGGUUUUGUAAGCCAGAUGUGAAAUCCCCGGGCUUAACCUGGGAAUGGCAUUUGGGACUGCAAGGCUGGAGUGUGGCAGAGGAGACUGGAAUUCCUGGUGUAGCAGUGAAAUGCGUAGAUAUCAGGAGGAACACCAAUUGCGAAGGCAGCUCGCUGGGACGUAACUGACGCUGAGACGCGAAAGCGUGGGGAGCAAACAGG